GAUCCAUGUAGGCGACGUGCUGAGGGAAGUGAACGGCGUUCCUGUGGAUGACAAGAAGCCGGAUGAAAUCAUCCACAUUCUGUCCCAGUCCCAAGGGGCCAUUACGUUUAAAUUAAUACCAGCCAUCAAAGAGGAGACGCCAAGCAAGGAGCCCAAGAUGUUUGUGAAGACACUGUUUGACUACGACCCAGCUGAGGACAAAGCCAUCCCGUGUAAGGAGGCGGGCCUGGCCUUCAAGAGGGGAGAUAUCCUUCAGAUCAUGAGCCAGGAUGAUGCCAACUGGUGGCAGGCUAAACAAGAUGGCCAUGCCAACCCUCGCGCAGGCCUCAUACCCUCCAAACAGUUC